AUCAUACCACAGAUCCUAAGAGUCCCUGUUACUGUGCUUGCUGCAGAAGGAAAUGGACUGGCAUGUUGCUGCUAGCCAAAGCUAAUGUCCUGCAAGAUCCCGGGUCAGGUAUACGUGCUUGGUCUGACAGGCAGGUGUACGGUGACUCCACUCCGACUUCAUUCUCCUUCAUUCUCCUGUCGAGCUUCCCAGGGACUCAGGCAGAUCUGGAUCAUCGAAGAGGACCUGUGUGUGGAGCCCGAAUCUGCACAGAGCAGGCAAU
rnacentral:lncRNA from 1 species